AGCAGUAGCCGCGGGAAUACGUAGGUGGCAAGCGUUGUCCGGAAUUAUUGGGCGUAAAGGGCUCGCAGGCGGCUUCUUAAGUCUGAUGUGAAAGCCCCCGGCUCAACCGGGGAGGGUCAUUGGAAACUGGGAAACUUGAGUGCAGAAGAGGAGAGUGGAAUUCCACGUGUAGCGGUGAAAUGCGUAGAGAUGUGGAGGAACACCAGUGGCGAAGGCGACUCUCUGGUCUGUAACUGACGCUGAGGAGCGAAAGCGUGGGGAGCGAACAGGAUUAGAUACCCCGGUAGUCCCUGUCUCUUAUAA
rnacentral:rRNA from 1 species